UAAAAGACAUGACAAUCGGCAUAAGAACAUAAAAAAUGCAUUUGAAUUCUGUUGAUUAUAAUGAAUUACAAUAGCUGUCAAUCAUGUGUGUAUUUGAUGUAACAUCUAUGAUCACAGUGUGUGUUUGUGUGUGCCUAUUGUUUCUUAAGUAUAGGUUCACAUGGAUAAGAGCCAGUAAAAAUAAUGUAACCUGAUCCACUGUGUGAGAGAGAUAUGCCUGAGGGAAGAUCACAUUUACUUUCAUCAGGAAAACAGACAUCUCAUCUCACUGGGCUGACGAUUCCACAUUCUCCUCUGGUGUCAGGGACAGUCAGGGGUCAGCGAACGCAGACAAUCGGUGGUCUCACACGUCCCCUCAGAGUCGACUCUCUUCUUCUGUGUCAGCACAAAAACACUAGAUGUUUGCUGGAGAGUCACACAAGAGAGCUGGAAGAUUUUACUAGCAGUCAGCAGAAAAAAGACAGCCGGCAGCCAACAAGAAAGACGUUGAGUCUAAAACAAUGAAUGCUUCACUGACACACAGACGAGGUUUUCUGAGGUCAUCCAGAGGAUAGAAAUACACUGAUCUGUCAUGAGCUUGAGAUCAAUGUGAGCACUAAAACAGAGCAAUUAACAGACUGAUAAUGAAAAUAUAGAGCUACAGCAAGACAUCUCAAAAAGAGUCUCAUUUUCAAAAGAUAUUUCAUGAUUAAUGAAACAUUGUUUGAAGAUGAUAUAGUAUCAUUACAUGACAACUCAACAAGAGGUCCCUGACUCAACUAGUAUUAAAAAACAUGUUUUUAACUGGUAAGAGAUCAAAGUAAAUGAUGAUAAAAGCCAGAAUAUUAAAUGCCAUGGAUCAAUAUUUACUCAGUAAUCCAUUAUUUUGUAGAGGAGGGUCAAAAUGACCAUUUUUGCUUGUGAUAUUGGAGCAAAAGUACAGGUAAACAAAACAUUACCUUAGAAAAGUGGCACCGUCAUUAUUGUUUUUUUUUAGGUACAGAGAUAGGUAGGUCAGUACUAUGACUAAAAGAGAUUAUGACAUUAUUGCUUUUAUGUGAAUAAAUAAAGGUACAUAACUAGGCUCAACAUUAUUUGUACUUCAAACCUUUGUUUCAUCGGACAAGAAAAACUAGCUUCACACCGAGUAACACACAUUUGGUUUUCGACCAUUUAAAAUGGGUAAUAUUUAACAAUUUACCAUAUUUAGAGCCCCAUAUCUCUGGGAUUUAACCAUAUAAGGCCUUACAAAUGAAGAUACUAAAAGAAAAGUUUGUUUUUAACCAGAAUCUAAAAGGAUGUUAAGAUAUCUUUAAUACUUCUAGAGUUAUAGGCACGCCAACUUUGGAAAAACAACACAAAAAGUGUAUUUUCCCAUUUUCGGACUCACACCAUUGGCAUGUAAUGCAACAAGAGGUGCUGAAAUCAACUGAUAUUAGUAAUAGAUCUACCAAUCUCUGUGUACAAAUAAAAUAAUGAUGAUGACACACUUCUAGGGUUAUUUGUUUGACCUGUAGUUUUGCUCAAAAAUUAUAGGCGAAAAUCUUAAUUUGACGCACCUCUACAAAUUAAUGGAUUACUCAGUAAAUAUUCAUCCAUGGCAUUUCAUAUUUUGGCUUUCACCAUCAUUUAUGUUUAUGUUUCAGAAAAAGUAUUAACAAAAUCAUACAUUUCAGCCAGGGAAGUUUCUGGAAUUUGGUUGAUUUGACAUGGAAUAAACCUUUUGUGAUUAAUGCAACAUUGACUAUUGAAUCAUUCCUUAUGUUUUAUGUAGAGUUAAAAACUGUUUGUCUGGACAGAAGGUUUUACACUUUGAAAUGACAAAAAAAAAAAGCAGAUGGGAAUUUUUGGCCAGUGCAUCGCAAAGGGCGGUAGAGUUUCCUAUAAAUGUUUGUGCCAUUAAUUCGAAUUAGUUCUUAUACAGAUAGCUAUAAACAUGUCGACAGAUUAACUAAUUUUAACUAACUCGCUGAACAAGAUUCUCCUCAAACUGUUGUUGAACUGAAAGAGAAAACUGACUGUACAAGUAAACAGUUUACACUAAUUUCCCUUCUCGACUUGAAAUUUUGCAUGCAGUCUAAGUUGCCAUCAAGGUCUAUGAGGACAGUUGCAUAUCUUUAAAAACAUGGCCAUCGACCAAUCAGCUUUCAGCAGCUUUUAAAUAGGGUUAAAUAAGGCCGAUCGGAACUAAACUUGGUACGCCUAUUUGUCUCUUGACCCAAGAGGUCUGUGCAAAAUUUGAAAGAAUUGGCCACCAGGAGAGGCUAUCUCGUUUUACAAGCGUGUAAAUCAUUAUAUAUACCGCUGUGUUUCACAAAGAAACACUUUAUUCAUACCACAUUGUAGAUCUCCUCAUUCUGAACAACUUUGCCCAAAGACCAUUGGUGUGAAACAAAAUGUUUAAUAAACACUUGAGAUUAUUUUAAAAGAUUACUUUUUCGAACUAAUCCUAGGCCGUUCACCUGAUCGGAACCAAACCAGUGCAGAAAGAUUCUCUGGAGUCCCAAAAUGAAGAUUUAUCAAAGGAAUUUUGAAAUUUUGAUUUAUCGUCAAACGGUACGCCAAAACAUUCAAAAUGGGCGUGGCCACUUUUACAAAAAUGGUUAUAACCCUUGAACAGAAUCAGAUAUUGUCACCAAAUUUGGUACACAUAUGUAUCGAGUCAUUUUAAGGACACCUAAAAAAAAUUGUGCAUCUCCACCUCUUGGUGGCGCUAUAAAAGUUUUUUUUUUUUUUAAAUGGAUCUAACUAUGGAACGGCUGGACCGAUCCACUUGAAAUUUUGCAUGCAGUGUUUGUGUCUAAGGUGCCAUCAAGGUCUAUAAGGACAGUCACAUACCUAGAAAAACAUGGCCGCCAUCAAUAAAAUAAUCUUUUAGCAGCUAUUUGAUCUAGUCCUAGUCUGUUCACCCGAUCGGAACCAAUCCAGUGCAGAAAGAUUCUCUGGAGUCCCAGAAUGAACAGUUAUCUAAGGAAUUUUUUUAAUUUUGAUUUAUCGGUACGCCAAAAUGUUCGUAAUGGGCGUGGCCACUUUUACAAAAAUGGUUAUAACUCUUGAACAGAAUCAGAUAUUGUCACCAAAUUUGGUACACAUAUGUGUCAACAAAAUCAUCUUUUAGCAGCUAUCUGAUCUAGUCCUAGUCCGUUCAUCCGAUCGGAACCAAACCAGUGCAGAAAGAUUCUCUGGAGUCCCAUUAUUAAUAAUGAUCAAAAAAACUUUUAACCUUCGAGUCAAUGUCGCAAAGCUACACCAACGAUGUUGUGGCAACACUGGGAAUGUAGCUAUGUUUCCAUCCAAGUUGCGAAUUUAAUUUAUGCGAGAAAAAAAUAUUAUCGCAAAAACAAUGUGUGAAUUAAGCCAUGUUUCCAUCCAAGGGUGUUCAAAAGGAUGAAAUCGUCACUUCCGGAAAAACUGUGGCCACUGUGAGUGUUUAAUGAAUAAAAUACUGGCGGUUUAGAGCACGCAGACAAAACGCUGUAAAGAACUUUGUCUCAUGUUUGGGAGUGACAGCACGUCACACACUUCUGAGUACUAUAUAUGUGCGUUCAUCCUUCUUUAUGACUAUACCGUGUGGAUCUAUAAGAUAUAAGUUUCAAUAAACCUUCUGUUCCGUACAGUUCAAGUUUGUUUUCAACUUAUUUGCUCUGCAAACUCUUUGUAGGCUUUGGAUUUUCUAGACACUGUUAUUUCAGGAUGACCAGAGCAACAUUUCAGAUGCGAUGAUUGGCCCACCGGUUAGUCCAGUAAUGAACGAGUUUUUCAGUCACAUGACCUUUUUGAUGCACAUCAUUUAUUCCUAACAAAUUCAAUAGGAGUUUAUUUGGUAAAUGUGUCUCCAUCAUAGUUUAUGUGCAUUUCUUUUUAUCGAAUAAAAAAAUUAUCCACCUCAAGAGAUGUGUAUUUUUUUUAAUGAGCAUUUUGGAGAUUUAUUCUCAUCUUGGUGUUUCCAUCCAACAGUUUUUAUGCAAUAACCUAAAAUGCACAUAAAAAUAACGUUGAUGGAACAUGUACUUGUGCCACAUCAGGGGCAUGGCCCCCCUUUCACCCCCCAUAUUUUUCAGUCUGUUGGCGAUUUUAUAUCUUAAUAGUUGUUUAUUUGCUCAGAAAAUACAUAAAAGUGAUUUUAAAUCAGAAUUGUAACUGCAUCUGUAGCCGAGUAGAUUUUCUGUAAAUGUUUAAUGAAAUAAAAAAUCUAGUUAAAAACAA